UGCGAAUGGCUCAUUAUAUAAGUUAUCGUUUAUUUGAUAGUAUCUUGCUACUUGGAUAACCGUGGUAAUUCUAGAGCUAAUACAUGCUAAAAAUCCCGACUUCGGAAGGGAUGUAUUUAUUAGAUUAAAAACCAAUGCCCUCUGGGCUCUCUUGGUGAAUCAUGAUAACUUCUCGAAUCGCAGGGCCUUGCGCCGGCGAUGGUUCAUUCAAAUUUCUUCCCUAUCAACUUUCGAUGUUUGGGUAGUGGCCAAACAUGGUUGCAACGGGUAACGGAGGGUUAGGGCUCGACCCCGGAGAAGGAGCCUGAGAAACGGCUACUACAUCCAAGGAAGGCAGCAGGCGCGCAAAUUACCCAAUCCCGAUCCGGGGAGGUAGUGACAAUAAAUACUGAUACAGGGCUCUUUUGGGUCUUGUAAUUGGAAUGAGUACAAUUUAAAUCCCUUAACGAGGAACAAUUGGAGGGCAAGUCUGGUGCCAGCAGCCGCGGUAAUUCCAGCUCCAAUAGCGUAUAUUAAAGUUGUUGUGGUUAAAAAGCUCGUAGUUGAACCUUGGGCCUGGCUGGCCGGUCCGCCUCACCGCGUGCACUGGUCCGGCCGGGCCUUUCCCUCUGUGGAACCCCAUGCCCUUCACUGGGUGUGGCGGGGAAACAGGACUUUUACUUUGAAAAAAUUAGAGUGCUCCAGGCAGGCCUAUGCUCGAAUACAUUAGCAUGGAAUAAUGAAAUAGGACGUGCGGUUCUAUUUUGUUGGUUUCUAGGACCGCCGUAAUGAUUAAUAGGGACAGUCGGGGGCAUCAGUAUUCAAUUGUCAGAGGUGAAAUUCUUGGAUUUAUUGAAGACUAACUACUGCGAAAGCAUUUGCCAAGGAUGUUUUCAUUAAUCAGGAACGAAAGUUAGGGGAUCGAAGACGAUCAGAUACCGUCGUAGUCUUAACCAUAAACUAUGCCGACUAGGGAUCGGACGAUGUUAUUUUUUGACUCGUUCGGCACCUUACGAGAAAUCAAAGUGCUUGGGCUCCAGGGGGAGUAUGGUCGCAAGGCUGAAACUUAAAGAAAUUGACGGAAGGGCACCACCAGGGGUAAACCUGACCUGUGAAGCCGCAGUCAACUCUGCUCCAGAAAGCCGCCCGAAAGGGUCGGUGGUGUUCCUAGGGGAGAGCUCUCCCCUAAACUAAUGGCUAGUCCUGCCGCCCGCGGCAGGGCGACACCCUCAAACUGACGGGGAACUCCUAAAGCCCUCGCUCCGGACAGGCGUCGGGAAACCGACGGCCUGCUCACCAGGCUAACGACCUCGGGUAUCGGAAGCAACGCGAGAGGAUGCUACAAUGGACAAUCCGCAGCCAAGCCCCUACGGUGCGGCCUCUACGGGGGUCGCAUACGGGGAAGGUUCAGAGACUUGACGGGGGUGGGUGGCGCGGGCUCUUGGGGUGCAAGCCGCGUGCUUGCUUGCAGGCCCAGGCGCCCGCCGCUGCCUAAGAUAAAGUCCGGGCGUGCGCGAAAGCGUGCGCGGCAACCACGCAACCCGCCGUUUCCAGCGGGUGCGAGGCCCCAGAAGUAAAAACAACCGGGAGCCUGCGGCUUAAUUUGACUCAACACGGGGAAACUCACCAGGUCCAGACACAAUGAGGAUUGACAGAUUGAGAGCUCUUUCUUGAUUUUGUGGGUGGUGGUGCAUGGCCGUUCUUAGUUGGUGGAGUGAUUUGUCUGCUUAAUUGCGAUAACGAACGAGACCUUAACCUGCUAAAUAGCCCGUAUUGCUUUGGCAGUACGCCGGCUCUAGU
rnacentral:rRNA from 1 species